rnacentral:rRNA from 1 species
AGCGAACGCUGGCGGCAGGCCUAACACAUGCAAGUCGAGCGCCGUAGCAAUACGGAGCGGCAGACGGGAGAGUAACACGUGGGAACGUACCCUUUGGUUCGGAACAACCCAGGGAAACUUGGGCUAAUACCGGAUAAGCCCUCACGGGGAAAGAUUUAUCGCCGAAGGAUCGACCCGCGUCUGAUUAGCUAGUUGGUGAGGUAAUGGCUCACCAAGGCGACGAUCAGUAGCUGGUCUGAGAGGAUGAUCGGCCUCACUGGGACUGAGACACGGCCCAGACUCCUACGGGAGGCAGCAGUGGGGAAUAUUGGACAAUGGGCGCAAGCCUGAUCCAGCCAUGCCGCGUGGGUGAUGAAGGCCCUAGGGUUGUAAAGCCCUUUCAGCGGGGAAGAUAAUGACGGUACCCGCAGAAGAAGCCCCGGCUAACUUCGUGCCAGCCGCCGCGGUAAAAC